rnacentral:piRNA from 1 species
CUCGUCGCCAGUCUCAUUGAGAA